GGCUAUAGUCCUCAAUCCAAAGCAUAUAAAUUGUAUAAUCCGAAGAGUGACAAAGUUAUUAUAAACAGAGAUGUUAGGUUCAAUGAGGCAAGAAGUUGGGCUUGGAAUGAUGGAGUUACUUCAGGACCAACAGAUUCUUUAGUUCCUGAUGAUGCACCCGAGUCACCUAUUGUUGAACAUUCGGCACCAGUAAUAUCUAAAAUAAUUGAAGAAUCUUUAGCAGAGCCAAGUCCACUUAGAAGAUCAACAAGAGAC
rnacentral:lncRNA from 1 species